rnacentral:lncRNA from 1 species
GAAAAUGUCUCUUUUAAUAUACUUUACAGUAGUAAAACUAUAACGUCUCAAUUUUUUUUUUAAAUAAAUUUGAAUAAUGGUUUAGGUCACUUGAUAAAUAUCACCUUGUAACUAAUAAGAUGAAACAAGGCUAAAUAGGACCAAUUAAGCAUGUGAUUUAAAUAUCGAUAUGUGGUGAGUAAAAGAGUAAUCCAACUACCAGUAGAAGAUUACUACAGUUAGUACUAUAACAAGUAUAACACUGUUCCUAAAAAAAGUGCUUUCUUAUGUUUAAGAUUUAUUUUAAUGUCAAACACAAAUAAUUAGAUCUUUAAAUGAACAAUUUGGGAGUUAAAUCCAUUGCUUCUGAUUUUUAUAGAUUUCAUGGUCUAGGAAAUCUAUACUGUCUGAUUUGAUCCCAUUUAACUGUAAGAUUUUUACACAUGCUGCACUCUACUAGCUGGCAGGAAAAUUAUUUUAAUCGACUGAAUGAAAGUAUUAUUUCAUGUAAAAGUUUAUUAUAUCAAGGAAAUGAUUUAGGUCAGAAGCUAGAUUCUAUAUAAAGUCAGCUUUUGAAAAUAAAGAAAGACAAAUCUUUUUUUACAUUAUUAUAAAAGAGCUAAGUUGCAAACAACUAUCCUUGAGACCAGACCAUUUUUUUUUUAAGCUGAAAUUUUCUAAUAAUUGCAAUGGCAAAACACCAUUUGCAAUUUCUUCCCUCCCACCUCCCAGGUGGUUCAACAAUUCCACUUCCAAACAGCAUUUCCCAUCAGUUUUUAAAAGCUACUUACAAAGUGUUAUUCUACUACCACUUUUAAAUACAUCAAGCACUUCCAAAUAUCUAGAAAGACUAGAUAUUUCAUAUAACUUGUCCACCACAUACACAGCACUGUUAAAUAAAAUUGCACACACAUAACAAUGGUUAUCAUCUGAGGUAUCUUCUAAAUGUGGCCAUUUUGGCCUUGAAUCAUUCCCUCCUCCCUUCCUUCUCUGCCUUCAAUCCAGUGGACAAGUACAGGCACAUGUAAUGCUUAGAGAUGGUCGAACAAAUUCCUAUGCAAAAGUCUUUACAGAAGACAAGUUUUCCUAUGAAUUUUAACACAAAGCGUACAAAAUAUGCUAAUUUUACUACUUUGUCAUACACUGGCAACCUCUUUAACAUCUAGAGACUAGAUGUUGAAAAAUUAGGACUAUUUGUCCAUUAUAUAUACUAUAUACAGAGCAGAACAAAAUGCACAAAACAUAUAGAAAAAUGGUGUCUGAAAAUGUCCAAGUAUGAACACACUAGUAUAUUACCUUUUGCAAUUUCUUCCCUCCUACCUCCUCUAAACCAUUGAACAAGUAUAGACAUUACUAUACUGCUCACAAAGGUGGCUUCACAAUUCAAUUUCCAAAAGCAUUUCCUAUGAAUUUUAGCAAAAAGAUAUUUACAAAGUGGUAUUUUACUACCUAUACAUUUAACAUACAUCGGGCACUUCUAAACAUCUAGAUAGACUAGAUGUUUCAAGUAAGGAGUUAAUUUGUCUACUAUGUAUACAGCAGUCUUGAAUAAACUGCAAACAUGUAACAACAGUUAUAAUUUGAAAGAGUCUUCCAUUUGGCCUAGAACAUUCUGGCCUAGAACCCUUCCCAUCUCCAUCAACCCAGAAGACAUCAAAUUUUCAGAAGACAAUCUUUCCUAGGACUUGUAAAACAAAAUGUCUUCCAGCUCCAUGUCAUCUAACCCACUUAACAAACGUGAACGUAUCGCUUCCAGAGGCCGUCUUAACAACUCCAUUUCCAAAAGUCAUCUCCAGAAGACAUGUAUUUUCUACGAUUUCUUUUAAACAAAUGAGAAUUUACAAGAUGUGUAACUUUCUAACUCUUUUAUCAUAACUCGGCAACCUCUUUCCAUCUAGAAGGGCUAGAUGUGACAAACGUUUUCUAUUAAAAGGUUGGGGUGGAGUUGAGAGCAGCUUUUUCAUAUUAUAUACACAGGCCUUCCAUAAACGGCCAGUAAAUCUUCCCAGAGGGUGGUGGGCAUUUCCAACGGGCCAAACGUGGCCUGUCGUCAUUCUACCAUUUCUCUCUUCCGACAGCAAAGUCUGGUAGAAUGAAGACCAACCGCCCGAUGGCCGCUAACCGUUCCACCCGUCGUCGUUCGGGACUUCGCUCACCUUUCAGGCCCCUUAAGGCCUUUGUCCGUUGUCGUCAGGACUAGGGCAGAGGGCUCGGCCUGUCCCGAGGCCCCCCAGUUCACCCGCCGGCCCGGGGCCGGAGGGCCCUGAAGGAGCGGGCUGCGUUCUGCGUCUCUCCGCGAUCUCUGCCGGACCGGAACUAAGACCAGACCAUUUUCUUCUGGA